CCAACACUGUUCACGACGCUGAGAAUCUGCCUUAUAGCGCCCCGGCGCUGCAAAUAGGCUUAAAAUUAGCGCCCCGGCGCUGUUACAAGUUCUGACAUUUUCUGCUCCGACGUCCUUUGGGAAAAUGGCCAUAACUUCUUCGUCUGAACUCCGAUUUAGAUGAUUCAAGAUGAUCCGGAAAGAGGAAAAAUAGAUCUACAACUUUCAUUCUUUGAGUUUUUCGAAAUAAUGUCCGGAGCUAUGGUCAAAUUGGCUCUGAAGUGACUGCUGUGUAAAUGGCAAGCCGAAAACGCGAAUCUAGCCACCCCGAACGUCGAUCCAUGUAACUUUUGUCCCAAAUCCUACAAAACAAUAUAAAACAUGCUUGAAUAGACACAAACACAUAAAAACAUCCUAAAAGACUUGAGAACAACAAUAAAUUAAGUCCGAAUGUAUCCAAUUCAUGUGUAUAAAUCUCACUCAUCAGUCAGGUUCUGUGUGGUAUGUGGGAAGGGGUGAUAUGGUUUGGUCAACUGUGUUUUUGCAUUUUACUAAUGUAUCUAAACCAAAUAUCAUUGGUUAAUGGGG
rnacentral:lncRNA from 1 species